AACGCACGAGACCUGCGGACCUGCGGAGGGAUCAUUAGUGAACGCCCUCACGGGCUUAUAACUGUUCCAAACCUCUGUGAACCGUGCCCUUCGGGGCUAUUUUACAAACAUGGUGUAAUGAACGUCAUAUAUCAUAACAAAACAAAACUUUCAACAAUGGAUCUCU
rnacentral:misc_RNA from 1 species